UCAUCACUAGUCACGGUAACAAAGACAUGCUCGCGAAGAAGCCGAAGGAGGAGCCCCCCCGCCUCUCUCUCUCCCCUUCCUUCGUGGCAGCUUCUUCCUUCUUCUCUACACUUUUCCUCCCCUAACCCUAAUUUCCAUCUCUUUCAUAGCUCCAAAACUCCACCAAUUCUCGUUCUCCUCCCUCCGAGAGAAAAUCGUUUGCCGUACAUGGCGACCGGAGAGAUUUUCUUGAGACUAGCUUCGCUACUGAUGUCGGGGAUUCCAGAUCUGUGACCAUGUUUGAGCCUGAGGUCCUGUAGCAACGGAGGCUGAGCGUCAAAGAGAAGGCGAGAAGCAAAAUACAAGUCCGAUGGCACUAAACUUGGCGAGGUCUAAACGCAGAUGAAACCAGCUGAUCAGAAAGCAAAACAUGAGUCCCGCCAGAGCAACGAAGCAGAUCCACCAGAUGGAUAUAUAUUUUCAACGCAGAAACAAGACACAAAUUAAAGGCUCUGUAUAUAACAAUUCUCCCCAAUAACUCCGUCCAACUUGUUCGCAAUGAUCUCUCUGAUUAUUAGUUUAUAUACAACAAUCACGAGUAAGGUAAGAAUUAAGAACUAUUCCUCCCUAUUUUUCUUUGUUUUUUUCCCCUUUUUAAUAUAAGGUCAUCACUUGUACUGUAUCUCCCACUCUGAAGAUGGAUUAUUGAGUGUGCUUGGCGAGCAAACUCACAUAUUCAUCUGCUUAAUUCUCUGACUUCUAUCAUUUUCAUGCUGACAAGAAGGUAAAUGAAAAUACUCUAAUAAGGGAACAACUGCUCCUGGCCAAAAAGUAGAAGGUAUACUUUCUUUGACCCAAUAUAGAUUGUUACAUAUUUUUCGUUUUAGCAUGAUAAGAAGCUCGUACAUUUAUCUUGUUAUCAUCUUUCUUAUGGGAAAAUUCAAUACUACAAAUGUAGAAAUUACAAUACCCUCCAAAAAUUUCAU